rnacentral:rRNA from 1 species
UACGUAGGGGGCAAGCGUUGUCCGGAUUUAUUGGGCGUAAAGAGCGUGUAGGCGGCCAGGUAGGUCUGCUGUGAAAACUCGAGGCUCAACCUCGAGACGUCGGCGGAAACCAUCUGGCUAGAGUCCGGAAGAGGAGAGUGGAAUUCCUGGUGUAGCGGUGAAAUGCGCAGAUAUCAGGAAGAACACCCGUGGCGAAGGCGGCUCUCUGGGACGGUACUGACGCUAAGACGCGAAAGCGUGGGGAGCGAACAGG